rnacentral:snoRNA from 1 species
CUAGCACUUUUCACAGGUCCUCCCUUAAUCAGUGGGUCGGGAUUUGGUAGCUGGUGCUGAGAGAAAAUCCUUGAUUACAUCCUUGCCCUGAUACUAUACCAGUGGCAGCUGUGUUAUUCAAGGGAACAGUG